rnacentral:snoRNA from 1 species
UGCUGUGAAGAGGCUAGAUAUACUGAAUUUGUGAUGAAGGGCCAAAGCUCGGAGC